UGCGUAGGUGGUUCCGUAUGUCGGAUGUGAAAUCCCGUCGCUCAACGGCGGAAUGGCAUUCGAAACUGCGGUUCUAGAGUGCAUGAAGGGAGAGCGGAAUUCUUGGUGUAGCGGUGAAAUGCGUUGAUAUCAAGAGGAACACCGGUGGCGAAGGCGGCUCUCUGGAAUGCUACUGACACUGAGGCACGAAAGCUGGGGGAGCAAACAGGAUUAGAUACCCUGGUAGUCC
rnacentral:rRNA from 1 species